rnacentral:rRNA from 1 species
UAUGCUAAUACGGGAUAAUAUAUUUGAGAGGCAUCUCUUGAAUAUCAAAGGUGAGCCAGUACAGGAUGGACCCGCGUCUGAUUAGCUAGUUGGUAAGGUAACGGCUUACCAAGGCGACGAUCAGUAGCCGACCUGAGAGGGUGAUCGGCCACAUUGGAACUGAGACACGGUCCAAACUCCUACGGGAGGUAGCAGUGGGGAAUAUUGCACAAUGGGCGAAAGCCUGAUGCAGCAACGCCGCGUGAGUGAUGAAGGCCUUCGGGUCGUAAAACUCUGUCCUCAAGGAAGAUAAUGACGGUACUUGAGGAGGAAGCCCCGGCUAACUACGUGCCAGCAGCCGCGGUAAUACGUAGGGGGCUAGCGUUAUCCGGAUUUACUGGGCGUAAAGGGUGCGUAGGCGGUCUUUCAAGUCAGGAGUGAAAGGCUACGGCUCAACCGUAGUAAGCUCUUGAAACUGGGAGACUUGAGUGCAGGAGAGGAGAGUGGAAUUCCUAGUGUAGCGGUGAAAUGCGUAGAUAUUAGGAGGAACACCAGUUGCGAAGGCGGCUCUCUGGACUGUAACUGACGCUGAGGCACGAAAGCGUGGGGAGCAAACAGGAUUAGAUACCCUGGUAGUCCACGCUGUAAAC